GACGAACGCUGGCGGCGUGCUUAACACAUGCAAGUCGAACGGAAAGGCCUGCUUUCCCUUGUGGAUUGCGGGUACUCGAGUGGCGAACGGGUGAGUAACACGUGAGUGAUCUGCCCCCAACUUGGGUAUAAGCCUGGGAAACUGGGUCUAAUUCCCGAUAGGACUGCAGGGUGGUGCCUGUGGUGGAAAACGAUUUUCUAGUGGUUGGGGAUGAGCUCGCGGCCUAUCAGCUUGUUGGUGGGGUAAUGGCCUACCAAGGCGGCGACGGGUAGCCGGCCUGAGAGGGUGGACGGCCACAUUGGGACUGAGAUACAGCCCAGACUCCUACGGGAGGCAGCAGUGGGGAAUAUUACACAAUGGGCGGAAGCCUGAUGCAGCGACGCCGCGUGGGGGAUGACGGCCUUCGGGUUGUAAACUCCUUUCGACCGCGAGGAAGCCACCUGGUUGGAAGGGUGGUGACGGUAGUGGUAGAAGAAGCACCGGCUAACUACGUG
rnacentral:rRNA from 1 species